AUAGAGAAAGAUGGAGGUUGAGGUGAAAUGUGAAUGAGGCCAAGUUAAGUAUUGGAGACCUGCAGGGGAGAGCCUUCAGCAGGAGCAGCACGGAGCCCCUAAUGAAACUGUUACUGUAGUUAGUACUGCUGGGAGACAGAGCAAGACACCUGCCUGCAGCACACAACAAACUCUCUCGCUCUCACACACAUCACACACAGACAUCACACAUAGCCUCUUAAACCUCCAGUUACACUCUUAGAAUGUUCCUGGAUUUGUAUAUUCUCACUUAUUUCUGCAUGAUAUCCACACUGCUCUAUUACGUGGUGUUGUGUCUGUGCUGUUUCAUAUCAUCCGUCUGUGUUCUUUUCCAGACCAGUCUCAGGAACAGAGGUACAACUCCAUUGCCGUGGCGGGGGCAGUGAUGGGGGCGGUCCUCGCCCUCUUCCUCAUUACCGUCUUCACCAUCAUCAUCCUCACCGCACGGAAGACCUCGCCCCCAGCGUACACAGACAAAGUGAUUGAUCUACCUCCAACACACAAGCCGCCUCCUCCAUACACAGAGAGACCCCCAGCCAUCCCUCUGGCUGUCCAUGCACCACAGGUGGCCUCCCUGUCACAGGCUCGCAGGGCUGAUCGCCGGUUUGAGAUGGCAGAGAGAACACCCACCAGGCUCGCGCACCAGGAACCCCGAAGCCCCUCCCAUCAGCCACUGUCUUAUCAGGAAUGGGUGUGUCACCAGCAUGGGACGGACCGCAUCUUCAUCAACCACCGGGAAAACUAUGUGUGACAGACACACCUUGAGCCCUUCUAUGGACCUGUCACUCACCCCGUCCCCACCCAUGCUCACAGAGGACAUCCUUUACAAUGUGAAGAACACAGGCAAAAAAACAGCUCAUGAUUUGAUCAAGCCUUCACAGAUGUGUCUACUCCACAUUUAAACUCAUUUGAGAGCAGCAGUUAUCAGCUGUAAGAAACAAGACUAAUGAGGCCGAAGCAUAAACUGCUGAGUUUCUUGAAGGAACACAUCCAUACACCCCCUCCACUCCACAACCAUAAACCACUACACACCCUUUCUGUUCCCAACCACAUUAAUAAACAGAGCAUAACAGUAGGGGGAAUGGGAGGAAACCGACUUGGUACAGUACGACAAAAUAGAUAUUUAAAACAACUCACUAAUCUCUGUUGUGUACUAUAUAUAUAUAUAGGAGUGGAAUAAUAUGAAAACACCAUACUAAUAUUUAACAUGUAUAGGAAUGAAAUAAGUUACUAUGUCACUGUAGCUAUAGGGAUAUUGUAAUUAUGUGAUAAUCCUGUGUUCAGUUAUGCUUUUUGAAUUAGAUUUAAACCUAAUUAAAACAUUUUAUAUAAUCCCACAGCACCCCUAACACUUGUACUUGACUUGUUCCCCCCUAAUAGCACUGACUUUGCUGAUAGCUCCUUUAGUGAGGAAAAAUGUACUGACGAUGACUGAGAUAUGUGGUAGCUAUCUUAAGAUGAAUGCACUAACUGUAAGUCACUUGAUAAGAGCGCCUGCUAAACUACUAAAAUAAAUGUAAUCAUUAUUUAUAUAAUUGUGGUAUUAAAUAUCAGACAUAUCUCAAAAUGGUUCUGGUAAACACGCAGCCAAUUUAGUAGGAUUCUAACUUUCUGGUAUAAGAACAAAGAUGGCAACAUUGUCUGAAGCAGGUUCUGGGUGCACGUUUCGUCUUCUGCCCUAUCGCUACACAGGUGAUUUAGAUAAUCAACUUGUCAUCAAGCUCGGAUGAUUUGAAUCAGCUGUAUAGUGUAAGGGGAAAAUAACUAAAAGUACACCCAGGGCGGGCCCCAGUAACGAGUUUGGAAAAUCCUGGUCUGAAGGACCAGGCACCAGUGUUACAUCAGGAUCAAGUAUUUCAUUGAGUAGGCUAUAUCAGAUAGUAACAUAUAAUGUAAAUUCGCUGUAUACAAAUGUUCAGAACUAAAAUGUUCAGAAAAUAUAAAUGUGGUGUAGUUCUAGUGUUUUGAGAAGUCAACUGAAUCAUAUAAAAUAUUUACUUCCGUACAUGAAAUGUAAACAUUAAUCGUUCUUUCGUCAGUGAGAAAAUCAUAUUUAGUUUUUUUUCAUUGCAAGUUUGUAGUUUUUGAAAUUUUCUUGUGCCAUGUUAAUAUUUGAAGGGGGAUUUUUUUCCACUAUAUAUAUGAUCCGUUUUUAAAAUUGUAAUUCUUACAUUGUGACUAGUUAAAUAUAUGCAGUGUUUUCUUUUUUUUAUAUAUAUUAAACAUUAUGUUUAUUACACAGUGGUAUUUUUAUUUGUUUAUUUUACCAUCAUAUUUAUACAAUAUAAGUAGUCUGUUUAUAAAUGGUCAAAUGAUAGGAAGGGCAGUAUCAGCCCUAGACAGGAUUCUGCUAUGGACCUGAGCCCCACAUAACAGAGUGCUGAUGAUCUAGGCCUCUGUGCUUCUCCUCUCCUGGCCAGGCCGGUAGGGACCAG
rnacentral:lncRNA from 13 species